UCGCUUCAAGGGUGACAUCAAGUGAGUUAUUUUUGUAUAUAUUUAUUUUAAAGAAAUUUAAUAACUUAAUUCAUAAGACGUUAUUUGUUUCAAAAGAUAACAACUGAUAAAUAAUAUGACAAUGUAAAGGAUCAAGUAAAAAAUAUAUUUUAUAUUUUGUUGCUGGGCACGUGAGGUGCGUGCACGCGCAACAUGCAUAUAUGUAUAUAUGUAUAUGAAAGAAGUGCACCCAAGCAAUAGAAUACGUGAAGCAUUUAGUUAGUGAACACCGCAAGCUAUGCUAAGCGGUUUAACUAUAACAACCACACAAGUUAUUUGCAUGCCCCUCUUUGAAAUAUUUAAUAAGAUAUUGCAGUUAUUAGAGAUUUAAUUUUAUUCCUAUAAUUUGUGGAAUAAAUUAAUUCAGAGCAGAAUCAAUAAAGUGGUAAUAAAUAUUCUGGUAUUUAGAAAAAAUACAGAGGGAGAUAAAAAUAAAAUAAAAUAUGCUAAUAUUCACUUAUUUGUUAAUAUGUAUAUAUGUAUGUAUGUAUGUACCAAUACACAUUUACGUCACAGUAAGUGCAUUUCCACGUGCCUGCAUAAGCUUGUAGUAGCAAUUAUUAUAUUUUUAUAAUACCUGUAGUGUUAUUUUCAAUUUCCUAUUUAUAGUGUUCGGAUUUGCAAAGGCAUAGAGGAGGUCUGAAUUGUUGUUGGCAGUAUUUAAGUGCAGGAGACUUACAUUGCAUCAAUAUUUUUUUUAAGAAUUACCAGUAAACUAACCCAUCGUUAUUAAACUUAUACAAUUUUACUAAAGCUCUGCAGAUUCCAUCAGAACUCAUGCUGCAAUUAUUUAAUCCCAUAACUGGUAUUAUUGAUUAAAAUAAUAAACAAUAUAACCAAAAACAACAACGCAAAAUAUGUGCAAAAAGAGGCGGCAUUAUCGGUUAAUUAGGCUUUGUCUUUUGUUGCAGCACUAUUUAUUGUAAUAUAAGUAUUUAUGUGGGACAUGCAAAUAUCGUUCCUCUCUGUAUGUAAGUACAUACGCGUACGGUAUAAUAAACGUGCAUGGUUGGGAACAAACAAAGGCGGAUAAAACUUGGCGUCUUUUCUUUCAAGCAAUGCAAUGUGCAUGCGAAUAAAUAUCCGCGCUACACACACACACAAACAAAGCUGCGAUAAAAGAAUAUGUAAUCUGCAAGAUACGAAAGAUGAAAGUAAGUAAAAGUGAAUCACUCCCAUUAAAACUGUUCACUGCGAAUAAAAGCAUCUAUAAAAUGCAAGAGAGCGCCAUGUAUUCGUAUAUAAACGAUUAGUUCGUCGACAUGAGGAAUAAUGCACACAUGGCCGGCCUGAGACAAUUUACCACCGUAGGCAAAUGCCAAAUUCUGCGUCCCCCUCUAAGCCUAUUUUGCCUCAACAACAAAAUUUAUAACUUUUCGAAAUUAUACAGGUCAUUUUAAUAAUAAGAAAACACUCAUAUUCUAAAUGUUUAACACAACUAAUAAAAAAUUAUCAUACCAUAAUUAGUAGUACAAUAAAAAAGGUUAAUUAUUUGAA